GACGAACGCUGGCGGCGUGCUUAACACAUGCAAGUCGAACGGUGAAGGGAUCAGCUUGCUGGUUCUGGAUGAGUGGCGAACGGGUGAGUAACACGUGAGUAACCUGCCCCCUUCUUCUGGAUAACCGCAUGAAAGUGUGGCUAAUACGGGAUAUUCUGCGCCUGCUGCAUGGUGGGUGUGGGAAAGAUAUUGUUUCGGUGGGGGAUGGGCUCGCGGCCUAUCAGCUUGUUGGUGGGGUGAUGGCCUACCAAGGCGGUGACGGGUAGCCGGCCUGAGAGGGUGGACGGUCACACUGGGACUGAGACACGGCCCAGACUCCUACGGAAGGCAGCAGUGGGGAAUAGUGCACAAUGGGCGCAAGCCUGAUGCAGCGACGCCGCGUGAGGGAUGGAGGCCUUCGGGGUGUGAACCUCUUUCGCCAGUGAAGCAGGCCUGUCCCUUGUGGGUGGGUUGACGGUAGCUGGAGAAGAAGCGCCGGCUAACUACGUG
rnacentral:rRNA from 1 species